GUCAGGGCUGGUGUCCGCUGGUCUCCCCACUUCAAGCUCUCUGGCGUGGCUAGAGUUGAGUGGAGUAGUGAUCGAGCUGCGGAGGUUCAUGGCUGGGACCGGCUCCUGGAGGGUCAUUGCCAUCUUGAAUUUGGGGCUUAUCAAUUUAUCAACUCAAUGUGUGUUUUUAUGCCUCUAGUAGAAGCCAGCGUUGUUUGGGACAGUGAAGUGCCCAGUUAAAACAUUCACGCUCCUAGACUCUCUUGCCAGUCUUCCCAGACUGUCUGUGGUUGGUCAUGAGAUCCAGUUCCGACCAAUAAGCUCUAAGUGGACAUCCUCGAGUGGAGGUUCUGGAAAAGCUAUUGUUUUCCUGAUAACAAUGUACAGGCCCAGGCGGCAUUUGCGCUUCACCCUGUCCUUCCCUCUUACUGCCUAAACAGGGUUGCUAUGCUUGGACAAGAUACAACCAUUUUGUAACCUUGAGGAUGAAGGCUUAUGCUAAGGAAGGUAGAGGAGGGAGACAGAAGGAUUUGGACAUUAUGGAGCUGUUGUAUGGCCCUGGGCUGUUUAC